CGGGAUGUAGCCUAGUGGCUAAGGCGCCUGCUUUGGGAGCAGGAGAUCGCCAGUUCGAGUCUGGCCAUCCCGA
rnacentral:tRNA from 2 species